UUUAGGCAGCAACCAUUUGAUUUUCUGGGGGGGGCUAUGGUUUUUUUUUCUGGUCAAAUUUUUUUUUUCGCCUAUGGCGAAAAACAAUCUAUUUUUUUCGCGACAAGUCGAAAACAAUUUUUUUCUUUCAAUUUUAGCAUUACAUAUAGUGGCAGCUAAGGGUGAAACAAACAAUUUUUUUUUCUCAGAAUCAAAAACAAAUUAUUUUUUUCUCCAAAAACUGGAAACAAAC
rnacentral:lncRNA from 1 species